rnacentral:lncRNA from 1 species
UGAAUUUUGGAACAAAACAGCUUUGCCCUCUCUCAGCUGCAGGUUACUGAAGAAAGAAGAAGAUCCCAAAGCAAGUUUAGCGCUGUAAAGUGAAAUUCUUGAUGUGCUGGUGCAAUGUGAGGCAGGAGCAGAAAGGCCUCUCUGGAGGGAGCAGGAGCUCGUGUUACUAACAAGGCAUCAUUACUGAUUUCUUCCACUUCUCAGCAAGUCCUGUAAAGGAAAGUGAGAGGAAGAAAAAAAAGAACAAUGAGUGAGUGUUGGCUGCUCUGAGCCCAUCCAGGAUUCAGGGAGGUUCCCAGCUCCUGCUGAAAUCCCUCUGAAUAUCACAAAUCUUCUGCUCAGCCAGGAGAAAUCAACUCACCCCUUUUAGCAUCAAGGCAGACACAGAUGAAGAACUCUGUCUCCACCGAAAACAAAAGAAGGUUCUGUCGCAAGACAAAUUGAAUCAAAUUCUCCAGGAGUUUUCCAGUUCAAUUAAGCUGUGGGAUAGUCCCUAUCUUAGGUGCAAAUCUCUCUGUGCAUUACAGGACCACAGACAGGGAUGUGGCAAAAGAUGAUUAAAUGAAGAUACCUUCAAGUGACCUGGUUUUGAUAGAUGAUAUUAAACCAAGCCUGAAAAUCAGACUCUCCUUGUGGUGGAAAACCUGAGGGAUCAACUAACAAUGAGAUUUCUGCUGUCUUGGUGAUGAACUGUCCUAAGAACUGCAGUUUCAGAGAAUAUGAAGUGACCUUUGAAAACUUCACUGAAAGUUGAUCCAGAUGUUUAAUCUGACCAAGCUGGUUCAUCUCUACAGAUAAAUAAAUUCUCAUUUUUGUUGAAAGUGAAAAUGCA